CGGGGGUGUAGACUAGGUGGGAGAGCAAUCGAUUCUGAAAAACCACUACCCUGUUUGGAAUUAUGCUUACCUAUCACAAGGAAUAGGACUAGAUAGAAAGUUUGGCUGGGGCGGCACACCUUCGAAAGAGCAGCGAAGGUGUCCUAAGUUGAGCUCAGUGAGGACAGAAAUCUCACGUUGAGGAUAAGGCCAAAAGCUCAAUUUACUGUGCCUUUUUGUACUAGGAUCAGUUACGAAAGUAAGGCCUAACGAUCCCUAAAUAGCCUCAGGUGCGUGAGGAUUGGGGUGACAGACAAGUUACCUCCGGGACAACUGGCUUGUGGCUGCUAAGAGAUCAAAUCAACGCAGCUUUUUGAUUCUUCGAUGUCGGCUCUUCCUAUCCUAGUGAUGUACAAGUUGCUAAGGGUCGGAUUGUUCACCCGUAUUAGGGAUCGUGAGCUGGGUUUAGACCGUCGUGAGCCAGGUUUGUUUUAUCCUACUGGAUAUAGCAUCAUGAUAGUAGAUUGAUUUAGUACGAGAGGAACUGUUGAUUAUGGCCUCUGGUUAGCGAUUAUCGGAAACGGUAUGUCGCGCAGCUACGCCGUCUGGGAUAAUGGCUGAAAGCCUCUUAAGCCAGAAGCCCAUCUAGAAAGUGAUGCACGUGAUGUUGGACCGAUACGAAUAAUCAUACUCAAAAGGUCCGCUUCAUAGGUAACCCAAUGUAGAAGACAUUGUGUGAACGAAGGUACUGUAAGCAGUGGAGUGGCAUUACGUCCACGACCUGUUGAGGUUCAGCUUCGCUUCUAGGUUUUC
rnacentral:ncRNA from 1 species